GAAUGUAUAGCAAUAGCUAAUUGCAUCAAUGUUUAAAUAAUGCAAUAUCGACUCUGUCGAAUAAAAUUCUAGGUAGAAUUAUGAUAAUGACAUUGUCUGCCUAUGUGUCUUGACCAAAUUACGUGCCAGCAGUCGCGGUAAUACGUAGAAGACUAGUGUUAUUCAUCUUUAAUAGGUUUAAAGGGUACCUAGACGGUAUAUCAAGCCUGACGGGACUAAUGUACUAGAGUUACUUAUGAGGGGGUUUUAAAGUACUGCUGGUGUAGAGAUGAAAUUCUGUCAUACCUUAUUUUGUAAAAAUACUAUGGCACAGGUAUAGGCGAAAGCAUCUCCUUAUGUGAUAGCUUUUUGUAGCGAACAGGAUUAGAUACCCCAAUAGUCAAAGCAGAAAAUGAUGAAUGUCAUAGAUUAGUUUAUUCUAUAAAUGAAAGUGUAAGCAUUCCACCUCAAGAGUAAUUUGGCAACAUUGGAACUGAAAUCAUUAGACCGUUUCUGAAACCAGUAGUGAAGUAUGUUGUUUAAUUUGAUAAUCCGCAAAAAACCUUACCAUGAAUAUUUACAAGCGUUGCACGGCUGUCUUCAGUUAAUGUCGUGAGAUUCUGGUUAGUUCCAUUAAUUAACGUAAACCCUUACUUUAUUUUUAUAUAGAGUUGUUCCCCGCUAGAUUGGAUAAGAUAACAGGGACUAAGACAAGUCAUC
rnacentral:rRNA from 1 species